rnacentral:rRNA from 1 species
GAUGAACGCUAGCGGUAGGCUUAACACAUGCAAGUCGAGGGGCAGCACUGGUAGUAAUACUUGGUGGCGACCGGCGCACGGGUGAGUAACGCGUAUGCAACCUACCUUAUACAGGGGGGAUAGGUCUCGGAAACGAGAAUUAACACCCCAUAGUAUUCUAAUUUGGCAUCAGAUAAGAAUUAAAACUUCGGUGGUAUAAGAUGGGCAUGCGUGCCAUUAGGUAGUUGGUAGGGUAAUGGCCUACCAAGCCGACGAUGGCUAGGGGUUCUGCAAGGAAGGUCCCCCACACUGGUACUGAGACACGGACCAGACUCCUACGGGAGGCAG